ACACUUCCUGGUAUGUGGGGCAGGAAACGUAGCCUUAUAUGGUGUUUUUGGGGUGGUAAUUAUGCUAAUCUCCUCUUCUCGUGCGUGAGCACCUGAAACGCAUUCAUCAAUUAACACAGCUCAUUUACACACUUUUCCUGAAGAUAGAAGAGUUUGUUGAAUCUGAUGUGGCAUGUUCGUACGAACCCUUCAUACGAACAAAAGUAAGAGGAAUUUAGGAUAAGAAUACGGACAUGUUCUUGCAUGAGGUCCAUUGUCUUCAACUCACAUGAAACCACCACAAAGAACACUGAAUUUACAUGAAUGUGGUUUUUGCGUUUAUCCAUUCACGUUAUAUUGUAGUUCACACUACUGACUUGGGGUUUAACUGCGACAGAUUUGUGCACAAAUAACGUAGGAUGAUGGGUCUCCAAUUUUUUUUUACGUUGUAGACUCCAGCAAGAAGAAACUCCGUGCAGUGACGUGUACCGCAGCGGGAGGGGGUUUCCCAGGAGCUCAGUGUCUCAAGGGGCUUUGAAAGGGCUUCAUCAUGGAGCAGUGGUUAGAACUGCUGUCUCACAAGAAGGUUGCAGGAUUGAUUCCUGACUGAGGCCUUUCUGGGUUGAGUUUGUGUUUGCUCUGUGCACACAUGGGUUUUCUGGUUUUCUGCACGUUAACUUUACUUGGAAACUCCAAAUUGUCUCAAGGUGUGUGUCUGAUGGGCUGGAGACAUGCCCAAGGUGUCCCCACUUCUCUCACAGCAACUGAUGGAGAGAGACACCAGCUCCUCUGCAGCCUGAAAUGGAAAAAGGAGGUAAAGAUGGAUGGAUAUCCAUGGAACAAAAAAGCUCAUCAAAGCAGACGAUAAUAUUUUUGCAUGCAUCGAAGWCAGCAAAACAUCUUAUGAACCRGUUUUUAUGAAUCUUGUAAGAAGUAGGAGGGUCCUGAUCYGAUAUCAAUAUUGGAUCGGUUUGUGGGGACGGCCUGCUCUCGACAUGUUCCCACAUUCCUUCCAUUUCCUGAUGAUGGAUCAGAACUCCUGGGGCUGUUUAGGGUCUUUGUAAACCUUUUGUAUCCAUCUGGAAUUGAACUUUUUAAUAAAAGUUACAAAAUCACCCAUCUUUUUUAUGAGCUAAAACGGUGUGCAGAAGUAGAUACAAAAACAAACAAACAAACAAAAAAAAACAACACAACACAACUGGUAACGGUGAAAGUUAAAUCUUUGUUCCCACGUUAACCUAACCUGGAAGGCGGCAGCUUCAUGCCACACACACAGAAGGCAGGAGAUGAACUUUUGCUCCUUUUUCACUGUGACCGCCUACCUCUGCAUUCCCCUCCAUUUAACCCUUUUCCUUCAUGACCCUUGACCUCUGCUUAUCAACCCCUCCCCCAACACACACAUUGUUAACUUGGUCUGGAUUUUUUUUAGGAAGUUAAAAAAACACAUUAGGAAAUUAUCAUUUCUUGUUAAUCUAGUCUUUCUGUGGAAUAUGUGUGAAGCAUGCAUGUUUUUAUUGAGUAUAGAUAACAUUAAAGGCAGCACUUGUACAAAAAUAAAUAAAUGUGUACCACUGUAACACUUUACCAUCACAUGAGACUUGGUUGGUUUUGAAGUUUUGAUUUGACAUUUGUGUGCAGAUAUAAACGCAACCCUUGAAAUGUGUGUGUAUUUGUUGUGAACAUGGUGUUUGGAGCAUCAGAACUGUCAGCCAGCCAGCGUAAACUAAACAGCUUAUUUUAUAAAGAAAGAAAAAUGAUCAUCAUACAUCUGUGAUAACUCACCAACCUCAAUUCUGCAGUUUUUUAAAUUUUUAAUUAUGUGCUGCUGGUGCUUUCAGAUUUUUAGCCAUCUGACAUUUCCACUCAGUAUUAUAAAGUAGUUGUACACUGAAUUCUGCUCCAACUACAAUUUGUUUUUGGAUAAACAGGUUUUAUUAUGAGAGCUUAUGAUGGGAAGAAUUUAAUGUUUCCCCAGGAUGAAAUCACUAAAACCUGCAUGUCCUGUGGCAUACAUGAAACUUGUUUGACCCUGAACGAUUGCACUGAGAGAAAAAUAAAGAAAWUUUUCACUUUU